CGACGCUGGCGGCGUGCUUAACACAUGCAAGUCGAACGGAGAUUAUUAAUGAAGCUUGCGAUUUAAUAAUCUUAGUGGCGGACGGGUGAGUAACGCGUGGGCAACCUACCCAUAAGCGGGGGAUAACAGUUGGAAACGACUGCUAAUACCGCAUAAGCUAUUAAGGUCACAUGACCUUAAUAGUAAAGGUGGCGAUUUUACAUUGCUAUCGCUUAUGGAUGGGCCCGCGUCUGAUUAGCUAGUUGGUGGGAUAGCAGCCUACCAAGGCAACGAUCAGUAGCCGGCCUGAGAGGGUGGACGGCCACACUGGGACUGAGACACGGCCCAGACUCCUACGGGAGGCAGCAGUGGGGAAUAUUGCGCAAUGGGGGAAACCCUGACGCAGCGACGCCGCGUGAGCGAAGAAGGCCUUAGGGUCGUAAAGCUCUGUUGUAAGGGACGAAUGUUUAUCUGGCGAACAGUCAGAUAAAGUGACGGUACCUUACCAGCAAGCCCCGGCUAACUACGUG
rnacentral:rRNA from 1 species